rnacentral:piRNA from 1 species
UGGUGGAUGAUUAGACCUGAGGGUGGU